rnacentral:rRNA from 1 species
UACGUAGGGUGCAAGCGUUGUCCGGAAUUAUUGGGCGUAAAGAGCUCGUAGGCGGUUUGUUGCGUCGGCUGUGAAAAUCCCGAGGCUCAACCUCGGGGUCUGCAGUCGAUACGAGCAAACUAGAGUGUUGCAGGGGAGACUGGAAUUCCUGGUGUAGCGGUGAAAUGCGCAGAUAUCAGGAGGAACACCGGUGGCGAAGGCGGGUCUCUGGGCAACAACUGACGCUGAGGAGCGAAAGCGUGGGGAGCGAACAGG